rnacentral:lncRNA from 1 species
GAUUGGGUGGAGCCCGCGCGCGCGCCGCGCUGAUUGGCCGGCGCGGGCCGGGCCGGGCGCGCGGCGCCGCUUCUUAACGCGCGUCGCGGGGCGGCGGGAGCGCUGAGCGCCGCGGGGCCGCUGCCGCUGUCACUGCCGCUGUCGCGACAUGAGCGAGAGACAAGGAACCGGGGCUACAAAUGGGAAAGACAAGACGUCUGGUGAGAAUGGAGGUAGAAGUCAGAAGAACUGCAGCAUUCCUGCAGUAUUGAAAUCAGGAGAAGCCCAAGGAAAUCAUCAUGAGGUGCCUCAUUCAAGUGGGCAUUUGAACAUCUGAAAGGUGGUGGUAGCCCAGCUCCUUUCUGAGAAACUGUCUGGAAAAUCAGCCAAG